GGGAAUCUAACAUUAAUGCUUAGGAUUGAUUAGUAAAAUGACAAUCUUUUCUUGGCUGACCUGAGUGACUCUGUGAAAUAUAAAUCACAAGCAAAUUUGUCCCCAGUUGGCCAAAGAGUUAAAAGAAGCCUUCUUCUUCUAAUGGUCAAACUCCAGUUCUUCUGCAAGAAAAUAAAUCAGAUUUCCAGUUCCAUAGAUGUCAUUGGUGAGAGAAAAAG
rnacentral:lncRNA from 1 species